CAACAGAACACUGAGGAAGGCAGAGAUGUAAAGAACUACAGAAAUGGUGGAACAUUCAGUUCCUACAGAGGCAGCAGAGCUUCCAGCCACAACUACAGACACCAACUUGGCGGAAUACUUACUACAGAAAGAGUCUUGAUGGUCCUCAGUGACUUGAGCAGCCCUGUCAGCAGCUGUCGCCUCCUCUGAUUGGCUAACAGGCCCAGGCUUGCCUCCGUGAACUCCUCCUUGGAAACCCUGAGUUGUCUUCACAAAAGAAGCCCCAAAGCAAUUGAUGAGGUGUAGGUGAAUGUUCUCAAUC